GGCGGACGGGUGAGUAACGCGUAGGAAUCUACCUGGUAUGGGGGACAACUCGGGGAAACUCGAGCUAAUACCGCAUACGCCCUACGGGGGAAAGCGGGGGACCUUCGGGCCUCGCGCUAUCAGAUGAGCCUGCGUUGGAUUAGCUAGUUGGUGGGGUAAUGGCCUACCAAGGCGACGAUCCAUAGCUGGUCUGAGAGGAUGAUCAGCCACACCGGGACUGAGACACGGCCCGGACUCCUACGGGAGGCAGCAGUGGGGAAUAUUGCGCAAUGGGCGAAAGCCUGACGCAGCCAUGCCGCGUGUGUGAAGAAGGCCUUCGGGUUGUAAAGCACUUUCAAUUGGGAGGAAAGGUUCACGGCUAAUACCCGUGAGCUAUGACGUUACCUUUAGAAGAAGCACCGGCUAACUCCGUGCCAGCAGCCGCGGUAAUACGGAGGGUGCAAGCGUUAAUCGGAAUUACUGGGCGUAAAGCGCGC
rnacentral:rRNA from 1 species